UACGUAGGUGGCAAGCGUUGUCCGGAUUUACUGGGCGUAAAGGGCGCGUAGGCGGCCUGCUAAGUCGAACGUGAAAUCCCCGGGCUCAACCCGGGAACUGCGUCCGAUACUGGUUGGCUUGAAUCCGGGAGAGGGAUGCGGAAUUCCAGGUGUAGCGGUGAAAUGCGUAGAUAUCUGGAGGAACACCGGUGGCGAAGGCGGCAUCCUGGACCGGCAUUGACGCUGAGGCGCGAAAGCCAGGGGAGCAAACGGG
rnacentral:rRNA from 1 species